rnacentral:lncRNA from 1 species
AUGAAAUGUCCGCCCGCUAUUCCUCAAUAUCACGUUGUCGGCCGCCAACGCGAUCUUGUAAGGACAUAGAGGUUAUUCAUUUCAAUCAAACUCCAACAGUUAUGGAGUUAUAAGUAUGACCCAAUCAUAAUACUUUCGCUCAAAACAGUCGCAAAAGACCACGUCUCUCACGCUCCUAAUCCUGAUCGUCCAACUGGCCUAAGGUUUACUAGGUCCACUAAGACUCAACCCUAGGCUCUGAUACCACUAUAAUCUGUCACGCCCUGGAUUUCAGCGAAAGCUCACCAGUCGCGUGCACAGACCCGCCGUGUACACCACAACUCAAGUAUACACCAGGCGUCUACAA